AUUGAACGCUGGCGGCAUGCUUUACACAUGCAAGUCGAACGGUAACAGGCCGCAAGGUGCUGACGAGUGGCGAACGGGUGAGUAAUGCAUCGGAACGUGCCCAGUCGUGGGGGAUAACGCAGCGAAAGCUGUGCUAAUACCGCAUACGAUCUGUGGAUGAAAGCGGGGGACCGAAAGGCCUCGCGCGAUUGGAGCGGCCGAUGUCAGAGUAGGUAGUUGGUGGGGUAAAGGCUCACCAAGCCAACGAUCUGUAGCUGGUCUGAGAGGACGACCAGCCACACUGGGACUGAGACACGGCCCAGACUCCUACGGGAGGCAGCAGUGGGGAAUUUUGGACAAUGGGCGCAAGCCUGGUCCAGCAAUGCCGCGUGCAGGAAGAAGGCCUUCGGGUUGUAAACUGCUUUUGUACGGAGCGAAAAGGCUCUCUCUAAUACAGGGGGCUCAUGACGGUACCGUAAGAAUAAGCACCGGCUAACUACGUGCCAGCAGCCGCCGUAACAC
rnacentral:rRNA from 1 species